rnacentral:rRNA from 1 species
UACGAAGGGGGCUAGCGUUGUUCGGAUUUACUGGGCGUAAAGCGCACGUAGGCGGAUCGUUAAGUCGGGGGUGAAAUCCUGGAGCUCAACUCCAGAACUGCCUUCGAUACUGGCGAUCUUGAGUCCGGAAGAGGUGAGUAGAACUCCUAGUGUAGAGGUGGAAUUCGUAGAUAUUAGGAAGAACACCAGUGGCGAAGGCGGCUCACUGGUCCGGUACUGACGCUGAGGUGCGAAAGCGUGGGGAGCAAACAGG